rnacentral:rRNA from 1 species
AUACGGAGGAUGCAAGCGUUAUCCGGAUUUAUUGGGUUUAAAGGGUGCGUAGGCGGUUUGCUAAGCGGGAGGUGAAAUGCCGGCGCUCAACGUCGGAAGUGCCUCCCGAACUGGUGGACUUGAAUGACUCUGCCGUGGGAGGAAUGUGUAGUGUAGCGGUGAAAUGCUUAGAGAUUACACAGAACACCGAUUGCGAAGGCAACUCACGAAGGGUUGAUUGACGCUGAGGCACGAAAGCGUGGGGAUCAAACAGGAUUAGAUACCCUGGUAGUCCACGCAGUAAACGAUGAUGGCUAACCGCUGGGCUUAUCAGUUCAGUGGCCAAGCGAAAGCGAUAAGCCAUCCACCUGGGGAGUACGACCGCAAGGUUGAAACUCAAAGGAAUUGACGGGG